GACGAACGCUGGCGGCGUGCUUAACACAUGCAAGUCGUACGGUAAGGCCCUUUCGGGGGUACACGAGUGGCGAACGGGUGAGUAACACGUGAGUAACCUGCCCACAACUUUGGGAUAACGCUAGGAAACUGGUGCUAAUACUGGAUAUGUGCUCCUGCUGCAUGGUGGGGGUUGGAAAGCUCCGGCGGUUGUGGAUGGACUCGCGGCCUAUCAGCUUGUUGGUGGGGUAGUGGCCUACCAAGGCGGCGACGGGUAGCCGGCCUGAGAGGGUGACCGGCCACAUUGGGACUGAGAUACGGCCCAGACUCCUACGGGGGGCAGCAGUGGGGAAUAUUGCACAAUGGGCGCAAGCCUGAUGCAGCAACGCCGCGGGCGGGAUGACGGCCUUCGGGUUGUAAACCGCUUUCAGCAGGGACGAAGCUUUUUGUGACGGUACCUGCAGAAGAAGCACCGGCUAACUACGUG
rnacentral:rRNA from 1 species